UCUAAAACGAAGAAAUAAAUGAACUUCGCGGUUCAUUUCAUAACCUCACCGGUCGCUGAUUAAGGGCAAUAUAUUGAUAAUAACCUUAUGCCAAUUCAGACAAUAAACUAUAUCUUUUAACUUACUGCAAUCCCCCACUCGGUCUCAGUGGUUUUUUUACGAGAGUGUCCAGCCCUUAAUCGAGAAUACCAGUCACUUUUUCAAGUGCAAUUAGUGCAAACAACGAUGCACGCAAAAAAUGAAGGCAUUAAGACUAACCUUGCCAAGUAGUUAUUUAGAGUUUGCUAAAAGCCUGACUCGCUAAAGAAGAUUGAAAGCUCUCACAUAUGCUCACAUGUGAUUAUGAUUGUAAGCUCGGUGCACGGGCAAGAGCGACAGGUUGUAACCCUUAGCGUGUGCACGACAUCUUGAGGAGAGACACUGCAUUCUCUGCAUUGAACUCUAGGAGGACUUAAAAGAGAGGCUCUGUCAUCGACUUCUGUCAGCUGAUACCUGUGGUCUGAGUACGUAAAAUGCUGUUUACUUUGAGCUUACAGUGACUACUUGCGAGAACUGUUUUAUUGACCAACUUCAGACAUUCAAUAUGGUCCUCUUGGGCUUUUCAAAGUUUUUUGCAGCAAUUUUGCUGUUCAACCUUCUCGCAGUCCAA